AUACUGCAGGCCGAGCGGCCGUGGCUACGGCUCGUGCGACUGCGUCCAAAUAUCUGCCAUCUGACAGUUCAUGGAGCUCCAAACCUCAAGGAAAUUCAUAUCGCAAGAAACGAACGCGCGGCGAGCAUCCGUGCGUCGAUGCAGACGCUCGGAAAUCAUUGUCAGUGCGACGAGAGCCUUAAGUAGGUACUUGUUACAUUCCAGCGAGUAACUAGAAGCAUCCGAGAUGUAGGUGAGCUCAUUGAGACUAAUGCGAGUUGAUUGAUGCCGAGAUUGAUUCUCUCAAUGACCGCUCCGCUCGCACUGACGAGUAAGCUCAGCGCGCGCCGGCGCGCGGGCGACGCGCUGCGGGGCGUCACACGUGACGUCACUCGGAGGAUUUGUGCGAAAUCUUCCCCGACUAUGUGGUAAAGAUGGUGCCCCUUCAAAAUUGAAUCCUGCGAUUCAAUUUUGAAGAGGCACCGAAUAGGCAGACACGACGGACUGACGGAUGGACGGACGGACGGACGGAGAGACAGACGGAAAGACAGGCAACAAAGUGAUCCUAUAAGGGUUCCGUUUUUCCUUUUGAGGUACGGAACCCUAAAAAUGAAGUUUCGUACAGACUUUCAUACCCUUUUAGGGGUAUAAUUUUUAAAAAUCGGAAAGUAUAUCGUAAAUAGUUAAGAAAGCCUAAAGUACCAAUUUUCAUUUAUGUAACUUUAAAAAUGACGGACUUUUAUACAAACUUCCAUCCCCUAUUUAAUCCCCUUAUUGGGGGUUGAAUUACCAAAAAUCAUUUUAAAAUGGAUGCCUUCGUUCUAAAAGGAACCUACUUUCAAAAUUUCAUGUUUCUAACGUGCGUUGAUAAUUGAUACUAUCAAUUUGAUUGAUCAGUCUGUCAGUCAGGGCGAAUCUUACGUACGAGAGAUUAUUUGGCCCGGUUAGGCCGCGUCAAAAAUUUAAAAUUAUUUUUUUAUUUAUUUAAGUGCUAUUUUUUUUUUUCAGAUAAAUCACUGAGAUUUAAUUCGCAGGCUUUUGACCUGCGAAUGCCCUUAAAAAUACUAACAUAUUGUUAGCUAGUAGAUAUCUAUGUGUAUGUACAACGUGCAACAAUCUACAAUGGCUUGAAAAUUAGCUAAAGAAAUUCAAAAAUAUGAGUACUUGAAGGGGGAAUUUUUUUAAUCCUGAUAUUGUCAAAAAAUCUUUUUGUUUUAGAUUUUAGUUCACUGUUGAACUCUGGUAAUAAAUAUAGCCUUAUCUGCCAAGCCGUAAUAUUAAUAUUUACGACACUCCGCGUCAGUAAAUCUGUAAGUAUGUGUGACGUCACGCGUCACGCCUUCGCGCGACAGCUGCACACAGGGAUUGCAGCUCUGGUUUCCACGGAAGAGGAGAAGGACUCCAGCAGCAUUAUGGGCACAUUGGCAUUAUCUUCAACCUAGAGAGCUGAAAUUUUGCACAGACAUACAGAUAAAAUAGUACAUUAUUGCAAAGGCCGGGAUAGGCAAUUGCAGGUCGAGUAUGAGUUUGAAGACCGAGCCGUCAGGCGAGGACUUCACUAAAUACGAGACAGGCAAUUGCCAUUUCCCGUCGAGGCAUAUUAGUGCUUUUCUCAAAAGAAUGCAGGGAAAUAAAAUACAC